rnacentral:rRNA from 1 species
GACGAACGCUGGCGGCGUGCUUAACACAUGCAAGUCGAACGAUGAAGCUGGAGCUUGCUCCGGCGGAUUAGUGGCGAACGGGUGAGUAACACGUGAGCAAUCUGCCCUUCACUCUGGGAUAACUGCGGGAAACUGUAGCUAAUACCGGAUACGAGACCUUGGGGCAUCCCAGGGUCUGAAAAGAAUUUCGGUGAAGGAUGAGCUCGCGGCCUAUCAGCUAGUUGGUGAGGUAAUGGCUCACCAAGGCGACGACGGGUAGCCGGCCUGAGAGGGUGACCGGCCACACUGGGACUGAGACACGGCCCAGACUCCUCCGGGAGGCAGCAGUGGGGAAUAUUGCACAAUGGGCGAAAGCCUGAUGCAGCAACGCCGCGUGAGGGAUGAAGGCCUUCGGGUUGUAAACCUCUUUUAGUAGGGAAGAAGCGCAAGUGACGGUACCUACAGAAAAAGCACCGGCUAACUACGUGCCAGCCGCCGCCGUAA